CAGGAAAGGGAACAAGAGAGAGAAGACUGCACCCGGGAUACGAAAGCAGAUAGCAUUCAGACACAGACAUACUUCCAGCCUGUGUAAGACGCUGCAUCAGCUUAUUCAGCAUUAUUUACACCAAGGAAAUAAGUAAAUUGACUUCUGUGAAGAGCAAAAAUCCCACUCUCCCUUUCUCCUUGAGAAAUACAGAAGCCAGUAAAGCCUCCAGCUGUGGGAGUGACCAGCUUUCAUGAUGUCUGUGCUAGGCUGUGGUUCAUGUGAGCUUGGUGGAGCCAGUGGUCUGUGGGCGACUUGGCAGAACAGCUGGAACAAAUGGCAAAAGUUAUCCUGGUCACCCAUCUGAGGGAGCAUGUUCUGACUUUUGUUCAUCAGCUCUGCCCCAGACUUUGGUUCAUCAGCUCUGCCCCAGCCAUGAAGAUCUGGCUGGAAUUUCAGCUGCUUAUGGACGUUGGGAUAACAGCAACAGUUUUCAAAAUGCGCUUAGAUCUCAGUUCUGCAGCACACUAAUCAUGGUUGGAUUAAAGGUUUUGCAAGAGCACAAUUAAAAGUUCAUAUAGGCUGCUUGGAGAAGGCUCAGGAGCAGUUAUCCAUUACUGGUAAUUGUUCAUUUUAUUAUUCUUGCAGUAAAAUCUAGAGACUUCAGCAACAGACAAUCUUCAUUGUCCUCAGCAAUGUAAAAAGCCGGAACAAAUGGCCAAUUUUUUUUCACACUUGGUGGAGAAUUGGCAAACAUUUUCUUGGAAGACAUUAUUCUUUUCUGAUGGCAGUCUAUCAAAUCCCAGUUUCAGCUCUACUAUCCACCAUCUAUUCCAUGAGCGUUACUACGGACUCCAUCCUCAGGUAGCACAGAUCAAACACAGUGCUGUGUCAGUCACCCAAACUGUGCUGAUUUGUGCUGGCUGUGUCACUCCAGCGAGGACAAUGACAUUACACCCACUGACACCAGCUCAGGAUCCGGCCCUCAGAUGCUGUCAAUGCCAUUUAGUACCACUCUUCUCUUUCCCAUUCUUCCUCAGUGCAGGAAGAUUAUUCUGCCUGACUGCAGCCAGGAGCCAGGCACAACUCAGCUCCCUUCCUGCACCCGGCCUCUCCAGCUCAUUAGAUCCCAGAGGGACAGGGGGUGUGGGAGGGGAGAAGAUCCGGCCCUUUAGAGGUGGUUCCAUUUAUAAAUAUUGACUUUAAUGCUAAUUUCAUGUAGUUGCUUGUAAAAGUCUUUUAGGCUGAAGCAGAAGGCACACUGCAGAUGGCAAGGAUAUUUUUCACAGUUUUUAUGGUGGAUAACAAUAUACUUGACAUUUUGCUCAUUAAAUGUGAGCCCUGGUAUGUGAGUAAACAUGCUAGGCAUCUGUGCUCUAAAAUUACCAGUGUGAAAAGCAACAACUCAAAUGUUUCAGUCAAUAAAUGUACAGCACAGAAGCAACAUUCAGCAACUUUCUGAAUGCUUUAUGCAAGGCGAGGACUGAGUUUGCAGUAUUACAUGGAACACUCUAGAACCAACAAGGAAGAAAUAACAUAUUGCUUUACAGUCCAUAUUUUUGAGGGAGAGGAUUACAUCCAAAAAUCUCUAAAGUCAACGUAAACACGUGCUAGACUAUACCCAUCAAUUUGUUUUUCUAGGGGAAAUAACAUGCGCCUUGUCAAGCCGCAGAACUAAAAAAAGAAUGGAAAGCAAGGAAUGGAGCCGGAACGAGCUGAAAGGGUGGAAGAGAGGGUCCAUGGAGGAAAAGGCAGUUUGCCAUUGUGAGGAACAGUAGACUGGGACAAGAAGGGGCAGAGGGACAGAUGUGUGGUGCAGCGUGAGUGGUUGUGAUGAUUGAUGGACCGUGAGGAGAUCAAACAGAACAGGUGCCACAGAACUACCACAGGCACUUUUCUGCUGCCCAUUUUUGGGUUUUCACACAUUAUUAAAGAAAGGAACCGCAGAAAGGAUGAAAACUCAGGUGGAAAGAAAACUCAAAGGGUAAGAUGGGUAUAGGAUAUUAAUCCAGUAUACAUGCUUUUUGCUUGUCUUUUCAACAUUUUGGAGAGACUAUCUUGAGACAGCUGCAAUUCUGAGUGAACCAAAACACACCUGAGGAAAACAAAUUUUAGCUUAGGACAUCUUGUGAUGUUCACAACUCCCGGGUCUUCCUGAAACCAAUGCCAUGCAGGCAACUACAGCAAAGUUAAAAUUUAAAAAAUAAAGGAUAGAUAGAUUGAAGUAAGCAAAAGACUGGUGUCUUGUAGUUUUAUUCAUGGAUUUAGCAUGUGUUUUGGCAUAUUGCUUUUUGAGAAGGCAAACAAUUUGUUACUUAAAUCUGUAUGAUGGAAAUGGGUAUGAAGAAAGUGAGACUUGCCAUAUGAAAUGAUGAUUUAUUUAAAAAAAGACCAGGAGGAUUACGAUAAUGCUGACUUCUUCAUUAUUCUCCAUCUCUCACAGCAGUGUUGGCCUAUAAACAUGUUUUUUAUUUCACAAUAUAAACAGAUGUCAUCUCCCUUUUCUCACUCCUUCAUCUUCCCUCAUGUCUUGCAAUUAAAUCUACCUUCAUCCCAAUGUUAAAUUCCUAUUUUCUUUGACAGCUGCUCUUCAAGUCAUUCUCAUUUCUCCCUCCCAAUAAAAUUCCUUGAAACUUUUGUUACCUGCAGGGAGUCAACUCUUUGAUAUAUCAAACCAUGAUGUAAGAGACACUAUCAAAAAUAAAAGAUUUUAAAAUCAACCUGAAAUGGGAACUCUGAUAUGAACUUGGCUACACUAUUUCUUACUGUAGUAGAGGGUUCUGACAACUGAAGCAGUGGAUAAAACUCCUAUUAAUGGAAAUAGAAAUGAGGUUAGAUCUGUAAUUGACUGAACUAAAAGAGAUCGGAUGGAUUUUUCUCAAAAAGAAGGUAAGUAUUCAAAACCUUUCACCUUUAGAGCCAUUUAGCCACCCAGUCUAAGAAUCCUCAUGCUGAAAGCACAUUCCUUCCCUUCUUUUUCCAAUAGUUACAGGCAAUCAAAACUUGAAUGGAAACAAAAAGAAACAACAAAAUUCUGAAUUUGUGACAGAAGAGUUUAAGUGGAAGUCUCACACAUUACACUUAGCAAAAUCAGAAGAAUUACUGAAAUCCCAGAAUAGGCAUGAAUUUGCAAGCAGUGGGAAGAGAAUCUGAAUAUUCUACCGAAAUCAAUCACAUUGAAAGAAAACAGUUUUCCUUCCUUGUCCUCAUUUGCUUCAGGACCUAUCAGAUAUGCAGUUCAGGCAGCUAAGCGAGAGAAUUUGGGGGAUAGAAGAAACCCAUAAUUGGUCCCCUAUUUAUAAAUACACUACUGCUGUUUCACAAAGGAAUCCGUGCUCUUGGAAUAGUUCUGGAAGGCAGGAGGUGUUUGGCAAGAUGCUUUUCCAUGGCUGCAGUCAGGUGAGGAAUAUCAGCACAUGGUGAGCUUUUGGGAAGCCCAGAGGAUGCAAAGAAAGAAUGACUGAUGUAUCUCUCUGGGAAUGGUGGGUAUCCAUCUCACCAUAGACUCAGGCAGGUAUAAAAAUUAGAUAUGCAUCAGUUAGAUGAAUGUUAUAGGUAAGUACAGUCAGUAUCUAUCAUGGGCAUUCAUUUUCCUCUACAUAGAAGGAAAAUGUCUUCAGAACUCGUGGACAGAAUAUCUGGAAUUACCAAUUCCUUGGUAGUAUUUGGUCUUGAUAGAAAGUUGACCAAGCACAUUAUUUUCUAAGUUCUCAAAGAGAGCAGUGCUGCAGGUCUGGUGGCACCCAGCACCUGACUAACUGGGCCUGUGAACAUACCAGAGGUGGCACUGGGUCAGACCAAGGCCAGCAGCACGGUGCCCUACCUGGGGGGAUGGCCAAUACCUAGGUGCUCCUGGGAGAGUGUAGCAGCAGAUCAAACACAAAGUGCUAUUUCCUUCAGUAGCUCCCUGUUCUUGAUGUUUUGUGCCUCAGGGAUUCCCUGCAUAAGUUAUCUUCUUUUAAUUUAAUGUAUUUGCCAAUCAGGUUUUGCAUCCAUACAAUUUUUAAGUCUUCACUUAUGCUGUGAUUAAACUGAGGAGCUGCUUAUUAUAAGUUGCAUAAUGUGGUAUCUCUGUCUAUUUUAAACCUGUUGCCUGCUGUUCUUUUUUGAUAUCUUCUGAUCACUAUAUCAUAGAAGAAAUCAGGUAUUAUCCCCUGUCCACCUGUCCUCUGCUUUGUUACUCAUCUCUUGGAAAGAAGGUGGUCUUCAUGGGAUGGAUGUGAGCUUUGUUAUAUCUCAGCCUCAUUCCGGCCUUCCUGUGCUGCUUGAAACAUUUUGCACCAGGCUGCCUGUGAUGAGAGGAACCUCUUAUCUAUCUGCACUUUUUCCUCACAGCUACUUCUUAAUUUUGCAUGCUGUGAGAAGACAAUCUUCCUAACGAGAUGGAGCCAGAGCAAGCAUCCUGGGAAAAGAGAAAAGGGUAGCAAGGAAGAAGAGAGCAAAUUUCAGAAAUUAUGCCAGAAAUGGGUAAAUCUUAGCAAAAACUUCCUCUUAGGGCCUUUCUAUAUGGAAAAGGGAAGAUGGAGGAAAUGCAGCAGCUCCUUUUUCGUAGAAAGAGGCAUUUCAAAAACAUCAGAGUUUCUCAGGUCCUGACACAGCCUGACUGCUGUUGUACUAAAGAGGGAGUCUGGAAUAGUUAUCCAGGGAAAACACCACGAGAUCUGUGCCAUGCAGAGAAACAGGGGACAUCCAGGGAUGAAAACAAGGGCAAGAGCAUCCACAGAGAUUCACCUUGAGGUCUGCACCGUGCAAGGACUAACACAUUAAAGAAGGAUGUGUGUUAAGGCAUAUCUCUGGAUGAAUUUGCUGUCUUUAUGGAAGUCACCAUCACUCAGAGCAGAAAGGAGCCUUUCACUGCAGGACCUGCUGGGUCUACACUAACCCACCUCCAUGCCAAAGCAAACAUUAUUCCUGCAGGCCCCUCUGUGCUACGUGAGGAGUACAGUUUCAAACCUCCCCUGCUCCAACCACUUUGGACACUAAAUGUGAAACUGCAGACCAGCUUCUCAGCUGGUUCAGACUGGCUCAGCUCCUUCAAAAUCAGAGGAGUUCUACUGUCACCAUCUAAUUGGGGUUUUGGCCCAGUAUUCAGCCUUCAGUUCCUUAAGAAGGCAAGUUGACAAUGUUUUUUAAUCCAUUGCAGAUGUUCCUCUCUUUUGCCCUUCUUUUCUCCCCUCUUUCCCUUCCCCUGCUGCAGCCAUCUCCCCUGUCUCCUCAGCUACCAGAGCUCACAUAGAGGGCAUUGUUGGUUACAAUUUACAGGGGGUGGAAAGCAUUAAAUCAUGGGUUAGGAAAAUAAAGUUCUUACCCUGCAGCAAUCAGAGGCGAGCAAUACUUCACCACCGAAACACGGCAUGUGCAAUGGUGCAUUUUAACCGGAUUCCAGGGCACAGAAAUAUUUGCAGCUCUCAAUCCUAAAUUAUACUCACAUCCAAUAUCUCGGAUUUUCAUAUCACUCAAACAUAAAACUGUCACCAUGUACAUUUGGGACUUAAAUUAUGUAGAGAUGAUAUUUUAUUGCAUAGAAUUUGUUUGCAUCUCUGUGGAAACCUGGCAGCCAUCCCACUGCUGAAGUCCAAAGGGGCAGUGACAAUUUAGGAAAAAGCUGAGAAACAAUCCAAGAAAACAAGCUACAUAUACUUCGUUAUCUAAUUGCUUUUUUUAUUUUAAUAUUGGAGGGAAAAAAUUGUGGAAGAAAGCAUGAUUAAAUAAAACCUGACCUUGAGUAAUUUGAACGAUAGACCAAGCAGCACACAGUAUAUUUUCACAGGAAUUGACCUUCACCCUGUUUAGGUUCCUGUUUGGGGUAGAAUUAACUCAUGUACAGGAUUGCAUAAGCUACCUGUAAGUGGUAGAACUUCAGUCUAGGGGAAAAAACCUAGUUGUCACUCCUGUGCAGCCAUGGAUCAGGUAAAGAAGGUAAGUGUGAUGCCCUGGGAUUUUGGUAUGCAGGAAAAGGGCUGCAGAAGCUUAGGACUUGACUAUGAUUUUUCCUCCUAUGCACUGUGGAAGUGUGUGUUCCUGCAUGUACAGUCACAGUAUCUCCUUAGCCCACUUGGUUUGGAAGGAGUGGUGCUGACACCAAGAGAUAAAGUGAAAGGUGGUGGGAACAGGUCCUUUCUGACAAUUCCAGGUGUCACAGCAGCAACAAAAAGAAGAUGUGAGCUCAAACACCUUUCUCUUGGAAUAAAGGACAGGUAGAGAAUAAUGAAUUGCAACCCCCAAAUGUGACCUCACCUCCAUGAGCAGCACAGCUAUUUUCUUGCACAUGGCAGAAUCCAGUUGAUGAAAGUGUUCUCCAGCCAUCCAGAGGGCAAGCCUGAUGCCUGUGCCUAGGAAA